GUUCAUGCUGUGAAGGGGUGGAGUGUGGUGGAAUUGCAGGGUCACAGCCUGAACCAAUGGGUGCGCUCUGUGAGUGUGUGAGUGCGGCGGCGCGGCGGUACGAACGGGGGAGGGACACAUUGCUCAGCUCGGCUCGGGCUGCGCGCUGCUACCGGGAGGGGGGAGUCCAUUCUUUUUCAUAUCUUUCCCUCGUGUGCCUAUUUCUUAAAUAAAGGCUUUGUCAUCACCUUCAUCUGCCCUACAGCCCCAUAGCCGCCCCAUAGAGCCCCAUAGAGCCCCAUAGAGCCCCAUAGCCGCCCCAUAGAGCCCCAUAGAACCCCAUAGAGCCCCAUAGCCGCCCCACAGAGACCCAUAGAGCCCCAUAGAGCCCCAUGGAGCCCCAUAGAGCCCCAUAGCCGCCCCAUAGAGCCCCAUACAGCCCCAUAGAGCCCCAUAGCCGCCCCAUAGAGCCCCAUAGAGCCCCAUAAAGCCCCAUAGCCGCCCCAUAGAGCCCCAUAGAGCCCCAUAGAGCCCCAUAGCCGCCCCAUAGAGCCCCAUAGAGCCCCAUAGAGCCCCAUAGAGCCCCAUAGCCGCCCCAUAGGAGCCCCAGAGAGCCCCAAGGCCCAAUAUAGCCUUAUAGCCGCCCCAUAGAGCCCCAUAGAGCCCCAUAUAGCCCCAUAGAGCCCCAUAGCCGCCCCAUAGAGCCCCAUAGAGCCCCAUAGAGCCCCAUAGAGCCCCAUAGAGCCCCAUAGAGCCCCAUAGAGCCCCAUAGAGCCCCAUAGCCGCCCCAUAGAGCCCCAUAGAGCCCCAUAGAGCCCCAUAGCCGCCCCAUAGAGCCCCAUAGAGCCCCAUAGCCGCCCCAUAGAGCCCCAUAGAGCCCCAUAGGCCCCAUAGAGCCCCAUAGAGCCCCAUAGAGCCCCAUAGCCGCCCCAUAGAGCCCCAUAGAGCCCCAUAGAGCCCCAUAGAGCCCCAUAGCCGCCCCAUAGAGCCCCAUAGAGCCCCAUAGAGCCCCAUAGAGCCCCAUAGAGCCCAUAGGGCCCCAUAGAGCCCCAUAGAGCCCCAUAGAGCCCCAUAGAGCCCCAUAGAGCCCCAUAGCCGCCCCAUAGAGCCCCAUAGAGCCCCAUAGAGCCCCAUAGCCGCCCAUAGAGCCCCAUAGAGCCCCAUAGCCGCCCCAUAGAGCCCCAUAGAGCCCCAUAGAGCCCCAUAGAGCCC
ensembl:lncRNA